UGAGUUUGAUCCUGGCUCAGGAUGAACGCUGACAGAAUGCUUAACACAUGCAAGUCGAUUCGAUUUACCUUCGGGUAUUGAGGAUGGCGGACGGGUGAGUAACGCGUAAGGAACUUGCCUCUUGGUCUGGGACAACUGUUGGAAGCGACAGCUAAUACCGGAUAUUAUGAGAUUCUCGCAUGGGAAACUUAUGAAAGCUAUAUGCGCCAAGAGAGAGCCUUGCGUUCCAUUAGCUAGUUGGUGGGGUAACGGCCCACCAAGGCGACGAUGGAUAGCCGGCCUGAGAGGGUGAACGGCCACAAGGGGACUGAGACACGGCCCUUACUCCUACGGGAGGCAGCAGUGGGGAAUAUUGGACAAUGGGCCACAAGCCUGAUCCAGCAAUUCUGUGUGCACGAUGAAGGUCUUCGGAUUGUAAAGUGCUUUCAGUUGGGAAGAAGAAAGUGACGGUACCAACAGAAGAAGCGACGGCUAAAUACGUGCCAGCAGCCGCGGUAAUACGUAUGUCGCAAGCGUUAUCCGGAUUUAUUGNGCGUAAAGCGCGUCUAGGCGGAAAAAUAAGUCUGAUGUUAAAAUGCGGGGCUCAACUCCGUAUUGCGUUGGAAACUGUUUUUCUAGAGUACUGGAGAGGUGGGCGGAACUACAAGUGUAGAGGUGAAAUUCGUANAU
rnacentral:rRNA from 1 species